AGUGAACGCUGGCGGUAGGCCUAACACAUGCCAGUCGAACGGCAGCACAGUAAGAGCUUGCUCUUACGGGUGGCGAGUGGCGGACGGGUGAGGAAUACAUCGGAAUCUACUUUUUCGUGGGGGAUAACGUAGGGAAACUUACGCUAAUACCGCAUCCGACCUACGGGUGAAAGCAGGGGAUCUUCGGACCUUGCGCGAUUGAAUGAGCCGAUGUCGGAUUAGCUAGUUGGCGGGGUAAAGGCCCACCAAGUCGAGGAUCGGUAGCUGGUCUGAGAGGAUGAUCAGCCACACUGGAACUGAGACACGGUCCAGAGUCCUACGGGAGGCAGCAGUGGGGAAUAGUGGACAAUGGGCGCAAGCAUGAUCCAGCCAGACCGCGUGGGUGAAGAAGGCGUUCGGGUUGUAAAGCCCUUUUGUUGGGAAAGAAAAGCAGCAGGUUAAUACCACGCUGUUCUGACGGUACCCAAAGAAUAAGCACCGGCUAACUUCGUG
rnacentral:rRNA from 1 species